GAUUAACGCUGGCGGCGUGCCUAACACAUGCAAGUCGAACGAGGCCACCUAGUCGACUUCUUCGGAAAGACACAAAGCGGGUUAGUGGCGAACGGGUGAGUAACGCGUGAGUAACCUGCCUUACACAAGGGGAUAGCCUUUGGAAACGAAGAAUAUUACCCUAUAAAACCAUACAAGCACAUGCUAGACUGGUAAAAGUGAUAGCGGCGUACGAUGGACUUGCGUCUGAUUGGCUCGUGGGGGAGAUAAAAGCUCACAAAGGCAAGGACCAGUGGCCGGCUUGGGGGAGGAUACGGCAAAAUUGGGAUGGGGACACGGCCCAGACUCCAACGGGAGGAAGCAGGGGGGAAAUUUGCAAAUGGGGGGAAACCCGGAUGAGGCGAGGCCGGGGGAUUAAGAAGGCCUUCGGGUUGUAAAGAUCUUUUGUAUAGGAAGAAAAUGACAGUACUAGAAGAAUAAGAUCCGGCUAACUACGUG
rnacentral:rRNA from 1 species